UCGCAAGACCUUGCGCUUUUGGAGCGGCCGAUGUCUGAUUAGCUAGUUGGUGAGGUAAAGGCUUACCAAGGCUUCGAUCAGUAGCUGGUCUGAGAGGACGACCAGCCACACUGGGACUGAGACACGGCCCAGACUCCUACGGGAGGCAGCAGUGGGGAAUUUUGGACAAUGGGGGAAACCCUGAUCCAGCCAUGCCGCGUGAGUGAAGAAGGCCUUCGGGUUGUAAAGCUCUUUCAGCCGGAACGAAACGAUUACGGAUAAUACCUGUGAUUAAUGACGGUACCGGAAGAAGAAGCACCGGCUAACUACGUGCCAGCAGCCGCGGUAAUACGUAGGGUGCGAGCGUUAAUCGGAAUUACUGGGCGUAAAGCGUGCGCAGGCGGUUUUGUAAGUCAGAUG
rnacentral:rRNA from 1 species